rnacentral:rRNA from 1 species
UACGGGGGGAGCAAGCGUUGUUCGGAUUUACUGGGCGUAAAGGGCGCGUAGGCGGCCUUCUAAGUCGGACGUGAAAUCCCUCGGCUUAACCGAGGAACUGCGUCUGAUACUGAAAGGCUUGAAUCCGGGAGAGGGAUGUGGAAUUCCAGGUGUAGCGGUGAAAUGCGUAGAUAUCUGGAGGAACACCGGUGGCGAAGGCGGCAUCCUGGACCGGUAUUGACGCUGAGGCGCGAAAGCUAGGGGAGCAAACGGG